rnacentral:rRNA from 1 species
AACGAACGCUGGCGGCAGGCCUAACACAUGCAAGUCGAGCGCGCCCUUCGGGGUGAGCGGCGGACGGGUGAGUAACGCGUGGGAACGUGCCCUUCUCUGCGGAAUAGCCUCGGGAAACUGAGAGUAAUACCGCAUACGCCCUUUGGGGGAAAGAUUUAUCGGAGAAGGAUCGGCCCGCGUUGGAUUAGGUAGUUGGUGGGGUAAUGGCCCACCAAGCCGACGAUCCAUAGCUGGUUUGAGAGGAUGAUCAGCCACACUGGGACUGAGACACGGCCCAGACUCCUACGGGAGGCAGCAGUGGGGAAUCUUAGACAAUGGGGGCAACCCUGAUCUAGCCAUGCCGCGUGAGUGAUGAAGGCCUUAGGGUUGUAAAGCUCUUUCAGCUGGGAAGAUAAUGACGGUACCAGCAGAAGAAGCCCCGGCUAACUCCGCG